AGGCAGCAGUGGGGAAUCUUGGACAAUGGGGGCAACCCUGAUCCAGCCAUGCCGCGUGGGUGAAGAAGGCCUUAGGGUUGUAAAGCCCUUUCAGUCGUGACGAUGAUGACGGUAGCGACAGAAGAAGCCCCAGCUAACUCCGUGCCAGCAGCCGCGGUAAUACGGAGGGGGCAAGCGUUGUUCGGAUUUACUGGGCGUAAAGGGCGCGUAGGCGGAUGAUCAAGUCAGAGGUGAAAGGCCCGGGCUCAACCUGGGACGUGCCUUUGAAACUGAUUGUCUUGAGUGCGGGAGAGGGUGACGGAAUUCCCAGUGUAGAGGUGAAAUUCGUAGAUAUUGGGAAGAACACCGGUGGCGAAGGCGGUCACCUGGCCCGCAACUGACGCUGAGGCGCGAAAGCGUGGGGAGCAAACAGGAUUAGAUACCCUGGUAGUCCACGCCGUAAACGAUGUGCGCUAGCCGUUGGGGCUCCUAGAGUCUCGGUGGCGCAGUUAACGCGUUAAGCGC
rnacentral:rRNA from 1 species